GGCCACUCCCGCGGCAUAUGGAGGUUCCCAGGCUAGGGGUCGAAUCGGAGCCACAGCAACACCAGAUCCGAGCCGUGUCUGUGAACUACACCCCAGCUCACGGCAACGCCGGAUCGUUAACCCACUGAGCAGGUGCAGGGACCGAACCCGCAACCUCAUGGUUCCUAGUCGGAUUCGUUAACCACUGCGCCACAAAGGGAACUCCUGUCGCUUUAUUAAAAACGCACAAAUGCAUAGAAAACUGUGAGGCUGCAGGCAAGUCCCCGUUAAGACACACGUCCCCAGUCGUGCCCAACUCCAUCUUUCGACAUUGAUCUCUACCUCGACUGCUUUUACUCGUUAGUCAUAACGACUAACGACGUACCGCAUGCUUUUUCUGUACAAUGCCCUUCGUUUACAUUUAUUCGGCAUUCACCAGCCAACGUAAAUCAGCUUAUCUAGUAAGUUUUGUAAUCAUUUUAUAGUUGGGAAAAACAUAAACUUGGGAAAAGUAUAUUCACAGACCCAACGUCUUACAGUCAUAUACGCGAGACAGAAAUAGGAUGCUUUGCCUAGACCUGCACAAGGUCUAGGUUUUUCCGCACUUAUCUUUUAAAUAUCUGGAGGAUACACAUCUAUCUUCAUUCAAGGCAACCUCUUUUACAUCUGUCGCUCCCACAUAUAACUGUAUUCAUCCUGGUAAGUAACAUACACGAACAUGCCAUUAAGUGAGCACCUACUGCAUGUUCAAUGUUAUCCUGCUGCUGACACCAUAAAAAUUUUUUUAACUGAAGUAUAGUUGAUGUACAAUGUCAUGUUUAGUUUCAGGUAAACAACCAAGUAGUUCAGUUAUAUAUAUUAUACUAUAUAUUACAUGUAAACAGGUACGUAUGUAUUCUUUUUCAGAUUCUUUUCCCUUAUAGGUUAGUACAAAUUAUUGAUAUAGUUCCCUCUCCUAUACAGUAGGUCCUUGUUGGUUAUCUAUCUUUAUCUAUAGUACUAUGUAUCUGUUAAUCCCAAACUCCAAAUUUAUCCCCCCCACACUUCCUCUUUGGUAACCAUAAGUUUGUUUUCUGUGCCUGUCGGUCUAUUUCUAUUUUGUAUAUAUGUUCAUUUACAUCAUUGUUUUAGAUUCCACAUACAAGUGAUACCAUAUGAUGUUUGUCUUUCACUGACUAACUUCACUUAGUAUGGAAAUCUCUUGGUCCAUCCAUGUUGCUGCAAAAGUCAUUAUUUCAUUCUUUUUAUGGCUGCGUAAUAUUCCAUUGUGUAUGUCUUCUAUAAUAAUUAUUAAAAAUCACAAGGUGUGCUCAUAAAACAUACUGCUAUGGUAUUUCAAUAUACAUGCAUCCUUCAUAUUUACAUGUUUCUACUCAAACAAAAGGAAAGCAUAGAGAAUAUUAUAUUCAAUAUUUUGGGGUUUUUUUUAACUGCCAUUAUGGCUCCACAGGAUCUGUGGAUUGCGCCUCUGGAGUUCGGAGACCUGCGUUUAAGCACUGCCUCUACUCUUUUCGAGCUUACUGACUCUGUGGCCCUUGAGAAUUCCUCGAAUGUGUUGAACCUGAGGAACAAUUUCUAAGAUGGGAAUAAGCUCAUCCAUCUGUCUACCCCAAAGGGUGGCUACAAAUAUCAAAUAAUAAAGUGCAGGUGAUAAGCACAUUCAAAUAUAUAAAAAAAGUGUACAGUGGUAAUUAUAAACCUCAAAGAGGCUUACAUUAAAGCAGGAUUUGUAUGGCUUUUGUCCUUUUAUGACUUUGAAGGGACCGCAGUUAUAUCCUGAGGGAUGAGGAAGAGGAAACAAAGAAAGACACAAAGUAUUAUGUUUGUAUAGUAACAAGAGCAAACUACGAUGCUCCACCUUCAAACAGAAAACGACAACAUGGAAAGUACCAGGAAAGUUUUGUUUUGUUGUUUUGUUAUUUUUAGGGCCACACCCAUGGCAUAUGGAGGUUUCCAGGCUAGGGGUGGAAUCCCAGCUGGAGAUGUCGGCCUACACCACAGCUACAGCAACGCGGGAUCUGAGCCACAUCUGUGAACUACACCACAGUUCAUGGCAACGCUGGAUCCUUAACCCACUAAGUGAGGCCAAGGAUCCAACCUGCGUCCUCAUGGAUGCUAGUCAGAUUCUUUUCCUCUGAGCCACGACAGGAACUCCAGGAAAGCUUACUCUAGUAGGUCUCGGCCAAGAAAACUGGAUUGCAAGUUCUUCGCAAUCACAUCAACUCUCCCUGCCCCUUUUCUUAAACUUUGCACUCUCCCUUGGUUGGCAUGAAGAGGCCCCACAGGACCCUAUAACUGGGAACAUCUUGGAGAAGACCAGCCUCAUUCUUCUGUCCUCACAGAGUGGAUGGGAUGGAGAAGAAAAAGGGAGAAGGUGCCUUUUCAAUACAUAGACUGCAUUAGAACAGAAGCAAACGUACCAUGCAGCCCCAAACAGCCCCUAGAGCUUCACCAAAGCUCAAGCCAAAAACCAAAACAAAGCAGAAACCUGGAAAUGGGAACCUGAUUACAAACAGAAUCCGUGCUACUGUAACUGUGUUAAAUCCACGAGGUGCCUGGGCACGAUCAGCUCUGAGGGAGGAUGGGAAAAACACUGGUACGUCAUGGCGAUGUUGAGAAAAGACCUAGUGAUGGCUAUUUUGGCAAAUCAGGAACUUGCUGUGUAGACCAGAAGUGCUCUUGGGACCACAAGGCCCAUUUUCACUGCUGAUCAUCACAGGCUUCCAAAGGAAACAGCCAAGCACCCUCACUGGCAUGCACUGUGCCAGGUCACAUGCACACUCCAGGCGAUCUUGUGAGUAUUCACCAGGGGCAGUUGACGGCGCUUUUCCUUUGUAUCACACCUGGAGGAACCUUUAGUCAUUUGUGACUCUGUCUCUGUCUCUCUCUGGCUGUGUGUGUGUGUGUGUGUGUGUGUGUGUGUGUGUGUACGCGCAUGCGCGCGAGCAUGAGCACACACAGCCCCCCCCCUUCCACCUCAAUUCAAGCAUGAACCUUUGAUGGGACAUUUUUGCUCCUCAUCAGAAUGGAAAGACGGAGCUUCAGAGAAGCAACUGAGUGGAGAGAAUAAAAAAAGAUGACAUCACUUCAAACGUGGACCUGCCAGAGAAUGAGCCUUUCAACUGCUCCCCUGUGUCGGCAGCCAGGGACCCUCAACUGUCCCUGACCCGCUGCAGGCUGCCCCCGUUUCAUAUCUUUUGAUCACUGUUUGUUUUAUGUCACCAUUCAUAACAUCUCCCGUGUGUAUAUGUGUGUGUUGCACUUGUGUACUUGCUAAAGCAACUGUCCUCGUGUUCACUUUACAAACUCCCAGGCGAGAGGGGGAGCUCAUUAGCAUCCGUUAUUAGUUUGAUAAUUCUAAAUAAAGUCAAUACAAACAUUUACAGGGCGUGUGCCCAGGAAGAGGAGCAGGAAUAAGAAUUUGGGACCCUGUGCUCCUGUUCUUUCUCAUCCAGGCCCUAAAGGGUACACGCGGCAAAACGGCCCUAGAGGUGGGUCCUCUUUUUCCUUUUGGACAACACAUGAACGCCAGAGGCAGACACUGAGCUGCUCAAAUAGUCCCAGUUUCCUUCCUCUCUCCUUUCCCCACCAACCCAUGAGAAGUGAGGGGAAAAAAAAUGUACAUUCAAGACAGGCUGAGCUGGGUUCAGAUCCUCCUCAGCCACUGCUUUGAUCUUCUUCUGCUAUGUAACUAAUGAUGCACUCGAGAUUCACUGAACCACUGAAAACAACCACCACUGUUUUCUCACAGUUCUACCAUCUGGCCGGGCUCAGCGGGACCGUUCUUCUGCUGAUCCGACGGGUGGUCACGCAAAUGGAUGCAUUCAGCUGGCUUGUUGGCUGGGGGCUGGCCUUGGCUGGGGUGAUGGGCUCGCUGCAUCUCAGUUGCUGCCUCUCUUGUCUCUUUCCCCCAACAGUCUUGGGGCCUCUUGUUCUCCUCACGGGCGCAGCACAGUAGCUGGAUAUUUUUUACCAAUGACUCAAGCCUUUGGAGCCCACAGAAGGGGAAGCUGCCAGGCCUGCUUCUGGAACUGGAGCAAUCUAGCCAGUUCAGAUACAGGGGAUGGGAACUAUACACGGGGUGGAUACAGAAGGCGUGAGUCACUAGAAGACACUCGGGGAGCCGACUAUGGGAGCCACCUGCUCCCGCCCCUUAACAACUCCCUUAAUCUCUUCGUUUUGAUGUGUUCUGGUGUGACAUGUUCCCCCAUCCCU
rnacentral:lncRNA from 1 species